rnacentral:rRNA from 1 species
CCUACGGGAGGCAGCAGUGAGGAAUAUUGGUCAAUGGACGAGAGUCUGAACCAGCCAAGUAGCGUGAAGGAUGACUGCCUUAUGGGCUGUAAACUUCUUUUAUAAAGGAAUAAAACGAGGCACGUGUGCCUUUUUGCAUGUACUUUAUGAACAAGGACCGGCUAACUCCGUGCCAGCAGCCGCGGUAAUACGGCGGAUCCGAGCGUUAUCCGGAUUUAUUGGGUUUAAAGGGAGCGUAGAUGGGUUGUUAAGUCAGUUGUGAAAGUUUGCGGCUCAACCGUAAAAUUGCAAUUGGUACUGGCAGGCUUGAGUACAGUUGAGGUAGGCGGAAUUCGUGGUGUAGCGGUGAAAUGCUUAGAUAUCACGAAGAACCCCAAUUGCGAAGGCAGCUUACUAAACUGUAACUGACAUUGAUGCACGAAAGUGUGGGUAUCGAACAGGAUUAGAUACCCCAGUAGUC